UGAUGAUUGAAAUGUGAUGAGUACACAAAUGUUGAUGAAAGUGAAAAACAUGAAGAUCCAACUCUGAUUUCAUUAAAAA
rnacentral:snoRNA from 7 species